rnacentral:ncRNA from 1 species
AAAGAUUUAGUUCUAGUCUUCCAUUUUAUUCCCCUCUAAGACGAUACAUGCAAGGAAACAUUAAAUCCACAACGGUGAGUAAAUAACUAUAAAUAACUAAAAAGGAAAACAGAAAGCAUCAGGAAAUUGGGUGUCCAGUUUAUUAAACCCACAACACUUAGGCCUCCCCACAACUGCAGUACCCAACAUUACACAAUAUGUAAUAGCAUGAUGUAGCUAAGAGAAAAAAGGGCCAGUAAAUUAUGUGCCAGCAACCGCGGUUAUACAUAAAGCCCAAAUAAAAAAACACAGCCAAAAGGUGGUAAAAUAAACUUAAACAAAAAGGCAAAAAUAAACCCUGGCAGUAAUAAGCUAACGGUUUUAAAAAAUAAAAAUAAAAACACCUUUAACAACAUUGACCCACAAAAGCCCGAAAGAAAACCGGGAUUAGAUACCCCGCUAUUCGAGCUGUAAAAUAACUUAACAACGCUAGAAGACUACGAGCAACAGUUUAAAACUCAAAGAACUUGGCGGUUUUUCAAAACUACCUGGAGGAGCUUGCUAUUUAAACCGAUAACCCACGUAAAACCUCACCAACCCUAGCAAAAACAGCCUGUAUACCAUCGUCGUCAGUCUACCUCGCAAGAGAAAAGUACACAUAAAGAGUACAUCGCCCCCGUGACUUCUACCCCCGACGUCAGAUCAAGGUGCAGCUCAUGGGUUGGGAAUAAGUGAGCUACAAUAACAAUAACAACCACCAAAAAAGAUAUGAAAUCAGUAAUGAAAAAACAGAAAAAAAAGGAUUCAACAGUAAUACUUAAAAGAAAAUAAGUAUGAAACCAUAGCUCUGAAAUGCGCACACAUCGCCCGUCACUCCCCUCACUUAAGAGGAGAAAAGUCGUAACAAAGUAGGUGUAUUGGAAAAUGCACCUGGAUUUAA